GACACGGGGAAUAUGGUGCCACCAGCCUGUCUUCACAUGGAGCACGGGUCCCUAUGGUCUACCUAGAAGAUAGCAGUUAGACCCGGGGUUUGCUUAGAGCCAGACGGGACCCUCUGCAAAGCCCAGGGGUGAGGUAAGAGGAAGAUGAGGGGAUGAGCCCCUGACCCCCGGACAGAGUCGGGGCGAAGCGGUGUUUAGAUGGCCCUUCGCCUUCUUCCUCCUGGAGAAGCCUCACGCCCUCUGUCCUCUCCCAAGGUCUCUCCUUGCAUCUAAGCCUUCCUGGAAAGUUCUUGGCCCAAACUGGUCGCAACUACUGGCACUCACUGAGGAAUCAUCGUUGUGCCUGCUCUUGCAGGACU